ensembl:miRNA
CCUUUUUCGGUUAUCAUGGUACCGAUGCUGUAUAUCUGAAAGGUACAGUACUGUGAUAACUGAAGAAUGGUG